UACUAAAAGAGAAAAAAUGAGGGAUCGAAACGAGAAGACAACGAAGUCAGGAUUAUGUUGACUGAUAUCAAACAAAGGAGUACAGAAUUGGAAAGACCAUCAAUGAGGCAAAAGAGAGGAGUAAAGAAGGCUGAAGAAAAUGAAGCUGGUAAUCAAGGACAGUCUCAGAAGGGAAAUACAGGAGAACAG